rnacentral:rRNA from 1 species
ACUCAAAGGAAUUGACGGGGGCCCGCACAAGCGGCGGAGCAUGCGGAUUAAUUCGAUGCAACGCGAAGAACCUUACCUGGGUUUGACAUGCACCGGGCGGCAUCAGAGAUGGUGCUUCUUUUUGUCGGUGUGCAGGUGGUGCAUGGCUGUCGUCAGCUCGUGUCGUGAGAUGUUGGGUUAAGUCCCGCAACGAGCGCAACCCUCGUUCCAUGUUGCCAGCGCGCUCUUCGGGGUGGCGGGGACUCAUGGGAGACUGCCGGGGUCAACUCGGAGGAAGGUGGGGAUGACGUCAAGUCAUCAUGCCCCUUAUGUCCAGGGCUUCACGCAUGCUACAAUGGCCGGUACAAAGGGCUGCGAUGCCGUGAGGUGGAGCGAAUCCCAAAAAGCCGGUCUCAGUUCGGAUUGGGGUCUGCAACUCGACCCCAUGAAGUUGGAGUCGCUAGUAAUCGCAGAUCAGCAACGCUGCGGUGAAUACGUUCCCGGGCCUUGCACACACCGCCCGU